CCAAUAGCGUAUAUUAAAGUUGCUGCAGUUAAAAAGCUCGUAGUUGAAUUUCGGGAUCGAUUUGCUGGUCGUGCCUAUGGUACGUACUGGUCUUGUUGGUUCCUCCUUUCCGAGGAGCCUCGAUGUCAUUAAUUUGGUGUCGCGGGGAAUCGGGACUGUUACUUUGAAAAAAUUAGAGUGUUUAAAGCAAGCUAACGCUUGAAUACAUUAGCAUGGAAUAAUGAAAUAGGUCGAUUGAUCCUAUUUUGUUGGUUUAUAGGAUUGACGUAAUGAUUAAUAGGGACAGUUGGGGGAAUUAGUAUUCAAUUGUUAGAAGUGAAAUUCUUGGAUUUAUUGAAGACUAACUACUGCGAAAGCAUUUGCCAAGGAUGUUUUCAUUAAUCAAGAACGAAAGUUAGGGGAUCGAAGACGAUCAGAUACCGUCGUAGUCUUAACCAUAAACUAUGCCGACUAGGGAUCGGACGAAAAUUUUUUAAUAAAUCAUUCGGCGCCUUACG
rnacentral:rRNA from 1 species